rnacentral:rRNA from 1 species
UCGGGAAUUUUGGGCAAUGGGCGAAAGCCUGACCCAGCAACGCCGCGUGAAGGAUGAAGUAUUUCGGUAUGUAAACUUCGUAAGAAUAGGAAGAAUAAAUGACGGUACUAUUUGUAAGGUCCGGCUAACUACGUGCCAGCAGCCGCGGUAAUACGUAGGGACCAAGCGUUGUUCGGAUUUACUGGGCGUAAAGGGCGCGUAGGCGGUGUGUCAAGUCAGUUGUGAAAUCUCCGAGCUUAACUCGGAACGGUCAACUGAUACUGUCACACUAGAGUACAGAAGGGGCAAUCGGAAUUCUUGGUGUAGCGGUGAAAUGCGUAGAUAUCAAGAGGAACACCUGAGGCGAAGGCGGGUUGCUGGGCUGAUACUGACGCUGAGGCGCGAAAGCUAGGGUAGCAAACAGGAUUAGAUACCCCCGUAGUCCCUGAGCGGGCUGGCAAGGCGCAU